UACGUAGGGGGCAAGCGUUAUCCGGAUUCACUGGGCGUAAAGGGAGCGCAGGCGGCAUGGCAAGUCUGAUGUGAAAACCCGGGGCCCAACCCCGGGAGUGCAUUGGAAACUGCCAGGCUGGAGUGUCGGAGAGGUAAGCGGAAUUCCUAGUGUAGCGGUGAAAUGCGUAGAUAUUAGGAGGAACACCAGUGGCGAAGGCGGCUUACUGGACGACUACUGACGCUGAGGCUCGAAAGCGUGGGGAGCAAACAGG
rnacentral:rRNA from 1 species